rnacentral:lncRNA from 11 species
CCUAAUUUUGCCAUCCUAACUAUCCAGCCUAACUCUUUUUAUGUAAAAGCAAAUUUCUAUGAUUCAAAUGGAAGCAUAUUUAUAAGUCUGAUUAAGAGUUGUAGAAAGAGAGAAAUUCAGAUAUAUGAAUUUUGAGUUUUUUCUACAAGAGUAAUAGCUAAAUUGAUUGUAUGGAUCUCUUAAUCAAAGGCUAAAUCCAUAUUUUACUGGCUCGAUUAAAAGAGUUUGCUUUUGUUAAUUUUAUAUUUCUGGUUUUAUGUAAAUGUGUGGUUGAUUUUAUAUGUUGAUGUAUGUGUGUUGUAUGGCACCAUUGUGUGCUAUCUGUAAGCUGCUCUGAGUCCCUAUGGGAGAUGGUAGUGGGGUAUAAAUAAAGUUUUAUUAUUAUUAUUAGUCACCAAAGCAAUAAAACAUAUACAAGCCAACAAGAUAACUCCUAAUGUUCUAUUCACAACGUAAACACUGUGAUUUCAUUCCUUGGUAUUGACAUUAUUCCCCUUAUGCUGUAAGAAAACGUCACAGCCAUGCCAAUGGCUGGUUGGUUAGAUGGUUGGUCAAUGAGGAGCACCAACCAUUUAACAGUAAGAAGGGUAGAAGUACUGGAGCACUACCCCCUCUAUUGAAAUGUGUUACUCUUACAGACUUCGGAGCGCUGGAACAGAUCUGGAGGAAAGAUACACUUUGCCAAGUGUAACAGGCAGUUUGUCCUUAGGCAAAAUAGAUCAAUGUACAAGCUGGAGUAUUUUGUGAAAAUCAUUGAGACUGGCACUUCAUUUCUACAUGAAGUAGCCACAGUGAAAUAUGAUAGAUAAAACCAGGUGUCCACCACCCUCUCUGUUGUUAACCAGGAGAAGGACCAGUUCAGCUCAGAGUGCUGUAUGCUCUCUGAAUGCUGCCAGAAUCACUAGUAUCCUUAAAGAUCCAAAAAGCAACUGGAGCCUUCUGAUGCCAGGAGCCGGCAUUGUCCAUAAACUCCCCCAAGGUUAUGUGGCCAGCAUGACUGCAUGGAGCACCGUUACUUUCCUGCUUGAGUGGUACCUUUUAAUAUACUUACAUUUGCAUGUUUUCAAACUGCUAGGUUGGCAGAAGCUGGGGCUAACAGUGGGAGCUCACCCCACUCCCAGGAUUCGAACCGCCAACCUUUCGAUCAGUAAGUUCAGCAGCUCAGCAGUUUAACCUGAUGUGCCAUCUGAGGCCCCAAUUACCAGGCCGUCACUUCAUCAUUUCAAAGGACUGGAACACCAAGGAAAGCUAUGUUGCCUAAGGCUGCAAAUACAAUGAAAGGAUGUAAAUGUAACCUCAAUGUUCAGAAACAGGAAAUCCUUUUAAUUCAAUCUUUCAUUAAAACUUUCUUAAUGCGGAUUCAUUCCUGAAAGUAAGCAUCACCAAUGUUUUCUCAAGAUUGUAUUUCAUUAUAUAAAAACCUGUUUUCAAUAAUAUGACUCUUGUAGCCACAUCCACAUGCUGGAUAAAAACAUAUGAUUGCAUAUGGAGAGUUGCUCCUUCAUUUGAAAACAAUCCCUCUUUGCUCAGCCUCAUUUCAGACAUAUUAAUUUUCAGUGUUUCCUUGAAUGUGACAUUUGUUGUGGAUUGAUGAUGAUAAAUGGAAGCUCUUCCUGCAGAACAAUAACAUGCCACUCAGGUUUGCAGAACAAAAAUAUAGGAAUUUUACUGAUUCCAAGAGAUAAAAAAACAGUAGUAUUUAUAACUGUCCCUCUGAUCACUUACAGAAGUCCACAAAUCUGCUUCAGAGAAGAAUACAGUCCUGGUUUUUCUCCCUCUAUUCUUAGCAACAAAAUAGGCCUCAAAAGAGCAAGGCCUCUCAGUACUCAGCUCCCUUCACCAGCAGUACUCAGUCAGCAACUGAAAACUUGUCCAAACUGGUUCUGCAGCAGCAGAACAGAAACAGUAUCAAAUUAAUCCCCAGAUCUUUGCAGGUUCAUCCAAUCAGCUUCAUGCACUUCAUUUUUCAGUUAACACACACUGCACAGUGCCUUUGCAAACCAUGAAAACAUUUCCUUUAUCUCCAGCCUACGGUUAUUGAAUACAGGAUUAUAUUGCCACUUGGUUCUGUUGAAUGUAUAAACUUCAUGGCACUUUAACUUCAAUUGCUUUAGUGUUAUAAAAAAGCAGAAUCAGCCACUAGCUGCCCUUAGUGUCAUGGCGGUGUGAGGUGAUUCAGAAGGCUAACAAGGAUCAAUGGUCAUUCUGGUUAAAAGAUUUUAAUUGC